UCUUACGGAUGAGCAAAGAAACUGGUAUCUUGAGAUGGAAUCUACUGCUGGUGGAGAUACUGUGAA
rnacentral:pre_miRNA from 1 species